CUUCAUGUCGAUGUUGAAAACGGGGAACUGGGUCAGAAAAGAAGCCAGUGAUUGCCUUUAAAUGAUUAUGUUUAAUACCUUUAAGCAGUUAGCUAUUUACAAAUCUUAUUUUGCUAUUAUUCCAUUUAUAAACGUCCGCUGUAGAUAUACCUUCUUCAAUUAUGAUAACAAUGACACCGGUUAGAAUUGAAGAAAGUAUAUCUGUACCAAGGAUCUUCAGACUUUUGUCUUUUGUGUUGUGUGUGUGUGUGUGUGUGUACACUUUCAAAUAUUGUUCCUUGUCAGCCCUGUAUUUGUUUGUUUGUAUGAUUGUUAACGCCGCACUCAGCAAUAUUCCAGCUACAUGGCGAACGAUGACAUCUGUCAACCAAGUCAGCGUGCCUGACCACCCGGUCCUGUUGGUCGUUUCUUACGAUAAGCAUGGGUUGCUGAAGACCAAUUUUAAGCUGAAAUGAUAGGGAGGUUCUCUAAAAAAUGUGGAGGAAAAUUGAUAUCAUCGUAUUUUUCGAGUUUUAAUGAAUGUUAUAUUAUUACCAUUCAGAUAUCAGCCAUAUUAGUGGUCAAGAGGAAGCCUGUAGUGCGGCGGUGUUGUAUAGUGAAGCGGUCAUACAAUCCGGUGCAUUUUUCAGUCCAAAUUGAUCGUGUCUAAUUUGUUUAUUGUCCAAGUCGAGUAUUUCACGUAGCCAUGGUAGAAUGUAGGAUUACAUUUACUGCAUUCUCUCUUGUAAUGUGACAAACUAGUGUCCUCAUGUAUAAAUAAAUGAUUCUAUAUUGUC